GGAGGAUGCAAGCGUUAUCCGGAUCUAUNGGGUNUAAAGGGUGCGUAGGCGGCACGCCAAGUCAGCGGUGAAAUUUCCGGGCUCAACCCGGACUGUGCCGUNGAAACUGGCGAGCUAGAGUACACAAGAGGCAGGCGGAAUGCGUGGUGUAGCGGUGAAAUGCAUAGAUAUCACGCAGAACCCCGAUUGCGAAGGCAGCCUGCUAGGGUGAAACAGACGCUGAGGCACGAAAGCGUGGGUAUCGAACAGGAUUAGAUACCCUGGUAGUCCACGCAGUAAACGAUGAAUACUAACUGUUUUGCGAUACAAUGUAAGCGGUACAGCGAAAGCGUUAAGUAUUCCACCUGGGGAGU
rnacentral:rRNA from 1 species